rnacentral:misc_RNA from 1 species
CGGGUCCAUUCAAAACACAGCGAUCAAGACGAUUAGUAGAUGCACCAGUAUUGAAUCAUCAUUCUCAAGCCACAAAUAUAAAGAUCAGCAACAUAGAACAACUGUACCCUUUUAGCUUUUAAGCCUUAGCAACCCAGAGAGAGAGAGAGAGAGAGAGACCACAGUAACAAUAAAAUGAGUAUUCAGGCAUUGGGUAAAGAGUAAAGACU